UACGUAGGUGGCAAGCGAUACUCGGAAUCACUAGGCGUAAAGCGCAGGUAGGAGGUUUAGUAAGUCUGUUGUGAAAGCUCCCGGCUUAACUGGGAGAGGUCAACGGAAACUGCUAGGCUAGAGUGCGGUAGAGGUAGCUGGAAUUCCCGGUGUAGCGGUGAAAUGCGUAGAUAUCGGGAGGAAUACCUAUGGCGAAAGCAGGCUACUGGACCGUCACUGACUCUGAUCUGCGAAAGCUAGGGGAGCAAACGGG
rnacentral:rRNA from 1 species